GAUGAACGCUGGCGGCGUGCCUAAUACAUGCAAGUCGAGCGAACAGACGAGGAUCUUGCUCCUCGCACGUUAGCGGCGGACGGGUGAAUAACACGUGGAUCACCUACCUAUAAUACUGGGAUAACUUCGAGAAACCGGAUCUUAUCCCGUAUAAGCUCUUGAACCGUAUGGUUCAAUAGUGAAAGACGGUGUUGCUGUCACUAAUAGAUGGUUCUGCGCCGCUUUAUCUAGUUGGUAAGGUAACGGCUUACGAAGGCAACGAUGCGUAGCCGAAUUGCGAGGGUGAGUGGCCACACUGGAAGUGUGACACGCUACAGAGGGCUACGGGAGGCAGCCGUAGGGAAUCGGGAGCAAGGGGCGAGAGCCUGAGGGAGAAACGCCGCGGGAGUAAUGAGGGACGUCGGAUCGUAAAACUCUGUUAUUAGGGAGGAACAACUGUGUCCGUAGAUGUGCCGGUAGUGACGGUACCGAGUAAGAAAGCAACGGCUAACUACGUG
rnacentral:rRNA from 1 species